UACGUAGGCAGCAAGCGUUGUUCGGAGUUACUGGGCGUAAAGGGUGCGUAGGCGGCUUUUUAAGUUUGGUGUGAAAUCUCCCGGCUCAACUGGGAGGGUGCGCCGAAUACUGAGAGGCUAGAGUGCGGGAGAGGAAAGUGGAAUUCCUGGUGUAGCGGUGAAAUGCGUAGAUAUCAGGAGGAACACCGGUGGUGUAAACGGCUUC
rnacentral:rRNA from 1 species